AUUUCAUAUCAUUUUGCAGUUUUACAUUCGUAUUUGUAUUUGAGUUUCAACUGUAAAUUGUUUUCAAGAAUUUUGUAAUAAAAAUGAAGUUUGUCUGUUAGUUUAUGUUUUGAUUGUUUCCAUUUCAAAAUUAUUCAGUGUUGUCCACGUACAAGUUGUUAUAUAAAAAUUGUUGUCCUCCUUACGGUGUCUAGUAGCGACAUUUUAUCCUCCAACCAUUAUACAUAUUUAACUUACUAUUUUUUUUUUAGAUGGCAGUACAGCAGAUCAUUCGAUACAUGCUGAGACAAGAAUUCACAUUUCUACCACUAUGCUAAAUAUCAAUAUGCUACGUUGAAAAUUGUACUAGACGGUACUGCUAAUAAUAAUGGUUUUGUGCAACGUGCGUGUAAUGGAUGGCAGUACAGCAGAUCAUUCAAUACACGCUGAGACAUGAAUUCACAUUUCUACCACUAUGCUAAAUAUCAAUAUGCUACGUUGCAAAUUGUACUGACAUUGUAUUGACAUUCAAAUAUUACAUUUAAGAUGAUACUUCAUACACACAAUAAAACAUGAUUUUACAUGAUGGCAGUACAGCAGAUCACUCGAGGCAUGCUGAGACAUGAAUUAACAUUUCUAUCACUUUGGAAAGUUACAACAUCUUCCGUUGAAAAUUGGAAUAGAAGAUGGCAGUAUAUCAGAUCAAUCGAGGCACGCUGAGACACGAAUUCACAUUUCUACCACCAAGGAAAGUAUCAACAUACUAUGUUGAAAAUGGACUAGAAGAUACUGAUAAUAAUAUUGGAUUUAUGCAAUGUGCGUGCAAUGGUUAUUGAAUAUAAUUGAUACUAAAUUAAUAG